rnacentral:rRNA from 1 species
UACGAAGGUGGCAAGCGUUUGUUCGGAUUUACUGGGCGUACAGGGAGCGUAGGCGGUUGGAUAAGCCCUCCGUGAAAUCUCCAGGCUUAACCUGGAAAGUGCAGAGGGGACUGUUCAGCUAGAGGAUGGGAGAGGAGCGCGGAAUUCCCGGUGUAGAGGUGAAAUUCGUAGAUAUCGGGAGGAACACCGGUGGCGAAGGCGGCGAUCUGGGUCGAUACUGACGCUGAGGUGCGAAAGCGUGGGGAGCGAACAGG